rnacentral:tRNA from 1 species
AUCGACGACUCAGCUGCACCAUAAGCACCCACACGAAUUGCUUGAUUCAUUGAAGAAGACGAUUAGAAGCAGCGCCCGAGUUCGGGUCUGUAGCUCAGUUGGUUAGAGCGCACCCCUGAUAAGGGUGAGGUCGGCAGUUCGAAUCUGCCCAGACCCACCAAUUUUGUGUGGGAAACGCCUGUAGAAAUACGGGGCCAUAGCUCAGCUGGGAGAGCGCCUGCCUUGCACGCAGGAGGUCAGCGGUUCGAUCCCGCUUGGCUCCACCACUUACUGCUUCUGUUUUGAAAGCUUAGAAAUGAGCAUUCCAUUGAUCCUGAUGAUCAGUGCCUGAAUGUUGAUUUCUAGUCUUUGAUUAGAUCGUUCUUUAAAAAUUUGGGUAUGUGAUAGAAAGAAAUAUAGACCGGGCACCUCUUUCACUGGUGUGUGUCCGGGCUAAGGUAAAGUUUGUGAAAUGCAAACUUUCGGCGAAUGUCGUCUUCACAGUAUAACCAGAUUGCUUGGGGUUAUAU